rnacentral:rRNA from 1 species
AUUGAACGCUGGCGGCAUGCCUUACACAUGCAAGUCGAGCGGCAGCGCGGGGGCAACCCUGGCGGCGAGCGGCGAACGGGUGAGUAAUGCAUCGGAACGUGUCCUCUUGUGGGGGAUAACCAGUCGAAAGACUGGCUAAUACCGCAUGAGAUCGAGAGAUGAAAGCGGGGGACCGCAAGGCCUCGCGCGAGAGGAGCGGCCGAUGCCGGAUUAGCUAGUUGGCGGGGUAAUGGCCCACCAAGGCGACGAUCCGUAGCUGGUCUGAGAGGACGACCAGCCACACUGGGACUGAGACACGGCCCAGACUCCUACGGGAGGCAGCAGUGGGGAAUUUUGGACAAUGGGGGCAACCUUGAUCCAGCCAUGCCGCGUGUGUGAAGAAGGCCUUCGGGCUGUAAAGCACUUUCGGCCGGAACGAAAUCGCGCGAUCUAAUAAGUCGCGUGGAUGACGGUACCGGAAGAAGAAGCACCGGCUAACUACGUGCCAGCCGCCGCCGUAACAC